GCAGAUGUGGCUCAGUGGAAGAGCAUCUGCCUGGCAUGCAGAAGGUCCCAGAUUCAAGCCCCACCAUCUCCA
rnacentral:tRNA from 1 species